rnacentral:rRNA from 2 species
AGUUUGAUCCUGGCUCUAGAUUGAACGCUGGCGGCAUGCCUUACACAUGCAAGUCGAACGGCAGCACGGGGGCAACCCUGGUGGCGAGUGGCGAACGGGUGAGUAAUACAUCGGAACGUGUCCUGUAGUGGGGGAUAGCCCGGCGAAAGCCGGAUUAAUACCGCAUACGCUCUACGGAGGAAAGGGGGGGAUCUUAGGACCUCCCGCUACAGGGGCGGCCGAUGGCAGAUUAGCUAGUUGGUGGGGUAAAGGCCUACCAAGGCGACGAUCUGUAGCUGGUCUGAGAGGACGACCAGCCACACUGGGACUGAGACACGGCCCAGACUCCUACGGGAGGCAGCAGUGGGGAAUUUUGGACAAUGGGGGAAACCCUGAUCCAGCAAUGCCGCGUGUGUGAAGAAGGCCUUCGGGUUGUAAAGCACUUUUGUCCGGAAAGAAAACCUCUGGGUUAAUACCCCGGGGGGAUGACGGUACCGGAAGAAUAAGCACCGGAUACUAG